AUUGAACGCUAGCGGCAGGCCUUACACAUGCAAGUCGAACGAGUGGCGGACGGGUGAGUAAUGUCUGGGAAAAUGCCUGAUAGCGGGGGAUAACUACUGGAAACGGUAGCUAAUACCGCAUACCAUCAGAUGUGCCCCGAUGGGAUUCGCUAGUUGGUGGGGUAACGGCUCACCAAGGCGACGAUCCCUAGCUGGUCUGAGAGGAUGACCAGCCACACUGGGACUGAGACACGGCCCAGAAUCCUACGGGAGGCAGCAGUGGGGAAUAUUGCACAAUGGGCGCAAGCCUGAUGCAGCCAUGCCGCGUGUAUGAAGAAGGCCUUCGGGUUGUAAAGUACUUUCAGCGGGGAGGCGUUACCCGCAGAAGAAGCACCGGCUAACUCCGUGCCAGCAGCCGCGGUAAUUC
rnacentral:rRNA from 1 species